GAGACUUCCUGCACACUUGCCCACAAGAUUCACAUUACACCUGGAAUUUACUGAAUGGUCAGCCUUUGUAACACUGAUUUAAAAAAAAAAAAUUUUCCACAUUUGUGCAGGCAAUUUUGAUGGGAGAAUGUAUGGGAACUGCUGAAUCAUGGCCUGAACCUCUGAUUGAUCACCUGGGGCAAGCAAUGAGUCAGCACAGGAGCACAGGUGAAGGCAAUUCACCUGUACUGCCGGAAGGGGUGGAGCCUGGCUCCACCUCUCUUAGACCCAUUUAAGAGCUGACUAUCAGUGGGAAAGGAUCUCAUCUGGAGAUCCCUUCUCUGGAGUUUUGCAGCAAGCUCAGGAUGCAGAGCUUCUGCCUCUGAGCCUGUCAAACCUGACUUUGAGAAAAAUCUCUUGUCAACUGGGAGGGCAUUGUAGAGGAGUGUGGAAAUGCACAGACGUGUGUUUGUGGAGAUGAUGGCAGAAGUCCUCAUCUGCAAGAAGGCCAAAGUGCACCUCCUGUCUGUCUUAAUAUUUCACUGGAGACCAAAUAUACAGCAACAACAGAAUCAGUAGCAACUAUAUCAAAGCAGAAACUGUGCCAUAAAACAGAAACAAAUUAAAAACAAAGAAACAAAAGAAACCAAACCAACAGAAACCACCAUCACCUCAAGAAGUACCUUUCUCAUUUCAUUUUGAGAAACAGAAGACCAACCAUUCUCUCUUCCAUUCAAAUACUGCUCUGGAUAUAACGCGAAAUUUGAAUAGAAGAACAAUUUCACCUUCCAGGAUACUUCAUUGCACUGUGCCAGAUUGUAUAGUGAUAUCUGGAGAAGACACACAGAAAACACUCAGUAUAGUACUGAUUCUGUCCAGACCGUAUUGCCUUCUCAAGGGUAGAAUCCUCUUAAAAUAUAGUGAAGAAACACCAGAGGCAUCAGAGAAACUUCUCAGUAUAUAUGGGUAAAAUCUCAUGGAAACUUCUGCCAAUUAAUCCCAAAUCCAUAAUCUGAUCUCGGGAACCUAAUAAUGAAAUUACUGACUGCAAAGGAAAUGCUAAGUCAGCUUGAACCAGUGAUUGAGCACCUGAUGGCAAGGCAGGGCCAACCCAGGGGAACUCAGGUGUGUGCAAUGUACCUGAGUGACCAGAAGAGGUGGAGCCAGGAUCCACCCCAUCCCAGGCCUCACUUAAGGGUUGGCAAUAGAGGCAAGGGUAUCUUACUGGAGAGCUCUGCUUACCUGAGGCCUUCUAAAGUUUGCAGCAGAAGAGUGCAAGUCAAGAGCAAUGAACACGUGACCAGAGCUGGGUCUCUCUAAGUUCAUCCCAAACUGGUGCAUGGGAAUUUGAGUCUUUAACUGCCAAGUUGAAGAUCUCCCUCAGAUUCACCUUUCAAGAGGUUAUUCUGCUCUUCAUUAUGAUUGCUUUUUGGGAAAUUUCAUCUUUUAAAUAGAUAUUCACUUUCACAUAUAUAUUACCACUCUUUUAAGUGGAUGCCUCUGAAGCAGAAGGGAUUUAUGUAUUAAAUUGUACAAGGAAUUGUACUCCCAACUUUGAUCUUGAUAUCAAGAGAAACAAAAUAGGUUUGUCCAGCACAAUAUCUUGUAGAUUACUUCACAGUGGAGCUGUGGGGGUUGUCUCCCUAAGAGGAGGAAUGUGUAUUUGCUGAGUCUCGGGGGAAUUUUAAUUUUUUUCUUGUUUAGACUUCCUUUGCCAUUUCUAGGACAACAGUUGAAUGCAGUGGUAUUUGAAUAUCCCUAUACAGAAGGGAACCUGACAGAGGGGGCAGAAGAUGCAGUUAAUUUUCCUGCUGCAGUCCAUAAAAUCGCAAGUUUAGUUAGAUUAGCUAAUUGAGGAAAGCUAAAGAAGUUUGGUGGCCAGAACUGCAAUAUGCUAGUGGUGGAGGAUAUAAAUUUACGGCUUCCAUUUGUGCAGAAAUACAACUUUUUUUUGUCCAGAAUAUCUGAUUACCUGGAGAACUAUCCCCAGUCCUUUGGUUACAUAGUACUGAAUCCAGUAUAUUAUCCUGAAAAGCAAGAUCUGGUUCAUGAAUCAAGAAGCCCAUGCUAACAAGAGGGACUCUGAAAUCAUGUUAUUCACAUGGUGUUUAUAAUUAACAUUGUGGUUAUAAUCUUGUCAGGAUAAAUAGGAUGUUUACAGAGCUAUCUAUGCCUCCUAACUGAAGACAAACAAAUAAGAUUUACGAAAGCAUCCAGAGUAUUGAUUUCACUUUUCAAAUCCAGUAGAUGAUCCAUGUAGUCUCUCUGUAAUGCUUUAAAGAGCAUCUCCUGGACUCAUUUUUCAUGUCCUCAAUGCUGUGGAUAUAGAAGACCCUAAACAACCUAUACUGUACCUAUACAGUAGUCUUUGACUGCUGUUUACAUUAUUAUUCUGUUGGAGCAAAAGAUGUUGUUUUCCUCUGAGACAGAAAUCAUAAACAAUCUUAAAUUAUGUAUAAUGUCUGAUUUUGCUCUGAACAACUAAUGAUCAAAAUGGCAAACCAGCCUGAUCUCAGGUUCAAACGUUAUCUCUUUGAAGGCGGUCAUCCCAUGAGUGACAGACUAAGAAGUGUAAAAUCAUAUGUAAAACAGAAUAGUCUGUUCUUCAUGGAAAGGAGAGGGUACUUCAUUAAGACAAAUAGGUGGUCACCUUGAAAUUCUUUAGUUUUACAGGCUACUCAGAUACCAGAUUGGUAAGAGUUGUAUAAUUACGCAAGCAGAAUUCACUACAUUAUUAGGGCUGAUGUCUAGCUAAAAAAGAUUCAGUAAAAGCAUAAUUCAUUUCAUUUGGGUAAAUAAUGAUAGCCUCUUCAGCUCCUCUUGCUGGCUUAAAAAUUCUAAGGGUUGUCACUCAACAAGCUUCAGGGCAAGAAAUGGGUUCGAUGUCAGUAAUUCACAUCAUGAGUUUGCUGUAUUUGCUG